rnacentral:misc_RNA from 1 species
AGAGAGAGAGAGAGAGAGAUGGAAAUCUAAAAGUUCGGAUUUUUCAAAUUCUCCUGCCAUAAGCUGCUGCUUAGAGUAAAGCUGAAUUAAAUUGAUAAUCACCUUGUCAUUGGUGUGGGUUUAAGUAUAAUUCAAGCCUAGCAUAUAAAUUUGCUCCUCAACUAAAUGAGGAGAGCUUAUUGCAUCUCUUGACCUAUUAUUUUCAAUUUGAGAUAAAAACUAGACCUAAUUUGGUAUUUCAACCAGGGGGAAAAAAAAAGAAAGAAAGAA